rfam:Rhizobium yanglingense strain CCBAT 01603 genomic scaffold C575, whole genome shotgun sequence.
GUUGCCGCGAGGCGGGGUCUGAAGGAAGCUGUAGGCAAAAUGCCGGCCUGACGAACAGGAAGCGCAUAUGCGGCGUCCGCAUCCGGGCGAGGGGGCAAACACACCCGAAGCCCGAUAUCACCCGGAGGGUGCGGGCGUAGAUGCGACAGGUAUUUGGCACGAAGGUCACGCGUC